rnacentral:rRNA from 1 species
UACGUAGGGUGCGAGCGUUGUCCGGAAUUAUUGGGCGUAAAGAGCUCGUAGGCGGUCUGCCGCGUCGAUCGUGAAAACUUGGGGCUUAACCCUGAGCUUGCGGUCGAUACGGGCAUGACUGGAGUUCGGCAGGGGAGACUGGAAUUCCUGGUGUAGCGGUGAAAUGCGCAAAUAUCAGGAGGAACACCGGUGGCGAAGGCGGGUCUCUGGGCCGAUACUGACGCUGAGGAGCGAAAGCGUGGGGAGCGAACAGG